rnacentral:misc_RNA from 1 species
GUGUGCUGGAGCAAUACUUCAAGCUAGAGUUGAUACUGUUGUAUGGGGAGCUCCAAAUAAGCUCCUAGGGGCUGAUGGCAGCUGGAUCAGGCUUUUCCCUGAUGGAGAUGGAGAAAAGAGCUUGGAACCAACAAACAAACCUCCUGCUCCAGUUCAUCCUUUCCACCCAAACAUAACCAUUCGACGUGGAGUGCUGGCAUCAGACUGUGCAGAUGCUAUGCAGCAGUUCUUUCAACUAAGAAGGAAGAAGAAGGAAAAGGAAAAGGAGUCUGAUUCUCCACAACCACCUUCAUGCCUUCCCAUUUCAAGACACCACCAUCCGAAAUUUCUCAGCAAGAUUCACGACGCGUUUCAUAUCAUGUUCUGCCUGUGAUUUUUUGUUUCUUACUCCACAAUUGUAUUGAUAAAACCCUCUUUCUACACUCUAUUUCGCGGUUUUCAGGUUCAUGGUCUUGUCAACAACUUAUGCUCUUUAAACAUCUGAAUUAAUCAACAAAGUUAUUGUUAUUUUCAAGGAAA